rnacentral:hammerhead_ribozyme from 1 species
GCACUGCUGAGGAGUCCCACAAUAGGACGAAGUGGCCGUCCAGCGC